GCCGGGGUCUCCUUCAGGUAUGGAGCAGGCCUGGAGAGCCUGUGACCUGUUAUGGGUCGCGUGGGUUCAAAUCCCACCCCCGGCGCCA
rnacentral:tRNA from 1 species